ensembl:lincRNA
UCGCUGGCACCCUAGGUUUCCUGAGAGUGAAACAACAUCCAAGUGUCCCCUGAGAGUGGAUGCAGAAGCCGCCAGCCAUAGCAUGAGGGUGACUCACGCCUCCCAUAGUGUUUAGAAUAGCAGCAAGUGCUUGGGGGCCUGAGCGGGAAGCCAGGUUCAGUCCUACUGCAUGUGAUCACUGGAAUUAGGGUGACGACAUCCACAACAGUGCAAAGACUUCACCUCACCAUCACCACCUGCUACCGCUCCUCACACCAUGGCGCAGUACUGAGUGCUACAAUUCGUGACUGAGGUAAACAUCAAGGUAUAAAUAAGCAAUCAUAUACACCUGAAAGUUAAAACCUGCUAUGAGUUCUCUACUUCUACAUAUGUAGGGAUUCAUAUUUGAAAUUUUUAUAUAUUUCUCGGAAGGUAUUGUGUAAACUUAUAGAACAUCUCUGCACUGUCUAUGGAAAUAAAUUAAAAUCAACCCAUGAAAGAAAAUCAUCCUCAACUAUGAUACAUCUUGAAGUGACAACACUGAGCACUUCAUCUUCAGAGAGAAUGGGCCCUUUGGACAGAAAAAUACAUGUUCCACUGUGCCUGCCACAUUUAAGAAUCUAUGUAUUUGUUGUGUUAAAACUUCCAAGUUCACCAGAGUCAAAAAUCAUGGGCAGCUUUUCUCGGCUUUCACUUGGUUUUUCUAAGGAUUCAACCACUAUGAAAAUACGGGGAGGAUUUUUAUCAGGAAGGAGCUGCUUAUCAGAGGGUGGGCUCGGCCUUUGACCCCAUCACGUGACCUCACUUCCUUGGCGAUGGGUCCAAACAGAACUUGGAACCCUGCACUCAACUGCCUCCCCGGUCACUUGGCUGAGGACAGUUAGCAGCGAACAUGCUGUGCUGCUUUCCCAGACCUCAAGGCCGCAGGCCCAGGACCCCACGAAAGGAAAGCACUUGGCAACUAGUGAGAGGAUGGUUCACUUGCCCCAGAUGCCUCAGGACACUAUCCAGAAACCGCCCAAACACCAUGGGCAGCACAGGGCAGGUCUCCCCAGACCCAGACCCCAAGGGCCCAGAGACAAGAGGGAGCCCAGGACGGGUGUUCCCAGGCUCAACCGUUAGCCGCUCGAAGUCACUGAGUCCAGGACAGGUCCAUGGACUGGACACUACUAUGGGAACCCAGUCCGCAGAGAGCCUGGCAGACCUCGGCACAGUGAGCACGGUGCAGGCAGGGCCGCCCCGCACCGUGAUGGAGUCCGUGGAGCAGGACUUCCCGGAGAGGAAGAGCAGGUCUGCCUCUUCCAUUCCUGAAUCCUCACCGGAGCUGAUAUCCCAGGUGGAUCCCCAGGAUGACCUUCUCCUGAACCAGCUGGAGCCUCCUGAGCCCACUGAGGCAGAGCUCCACGGUGAGAGGACUGUAGAAUGGGCCUGGGGGGAGGAGAUGGGCCUUGAAACACUGCAAGGCUUUCAGCUGCUCAGGGACCCAGGAACACUGAGACACUGGGCAGUCAGUGUGGGGAUGCAGGCUGGGAGGACUUCCUGGGACUGUGUUGGUGCACACAGAUGUCUCUCACAGGCAGAGGGUUUUGCCUGGGAAGCAACAAGAACAGUCGGUGAUCUUUUCUCCUCUUUCAACUGCCCUGCCAGCUCCGGCCCACACUGACGUCCCACCUGCUGAACUCGUGCCAGCUCCACCUGCAGCUCCCGUGGCAGCUCUGGCCCCACAGCAGGAGCCAGCACCUGGAAGCCCUGCUCCACCAGGAACACAGCUGCAACUUCUGGCUCCAUGGCAGGUGUCCUCUCUUCAGAUCUACCUGGACCCAGCUCUUCACCCCUAUCUGCAAUCUCUCUCUCCUACAGAUUUACUUAUCCUGUUAUUCAUUGCUGCCCUUAUUUCCCAGAGACAGGGCAAUGAUGGAAUUCCUUUAAAUAAACUUUUAAGGUUUUAGUCUUGUUUGAAAUGAUCAACCUCCUGCAUUUUCAGUGCAUUCUCAGAUAUUGGCAAGGUUGUGCAACCUUCACCACAGUUCAUUUCGAAGAUUUUCCUCAAUUCCAGAACCAAAGGUAUUUCCUCCCCUCUCCCCUCCUCUUAGAUCCACUCAUCUCAUCUCCUUGUAAUUUACCUAUUGAACAUUUUUCACAAAACUGCAAUCAUAUGGGUCUUCAGCCACAGAAUCUUCAAAGCUAAUAUUCAAUCUUCCUUAUUGCAGGAAGGGAAAAUCCUACAUAGAUUCCAAUGAUUC